GGACUCUGACCGGGAGAGUUCUCGCAUCCGCAGGGUGCGAGGCGCCGAAGGGGCAACAUCCCCGCCAACCUCUCAGGCACACGGACCGGUCAGGCGAG
rnacentral:ncRNA from 1 species